rnacentral:lncRNA from 1 species
GGAUUUCCAACAAAGAUGUGGCUCUCAGGAAGUUUAAGGUUUUCUUCUCCUCCUUUCCUUCUCAAGUUUCCUUCUUUUCUUCCAAUCCUCACUUCCUUCUUUUGCUCUCAUUCUCACUCCCAAACCUUCUUACACCACGAAGCUAUCUCAAAAUUCAAUCGCUUGCUUCAUAUGCCUGAGGUUCCUCCCAUCUUCGAAUUUGGAAAGAUUUUGGGAUUCCUUGGGAAGACGAAGCACUAUCCUACUGCUAUUUUUCUCAGUAAGCAAAUGGAACUCAAGGGAAUUCAGCCUAAUCUUGUUACUCUCAACAUCCUCAUCAAUUGUUUUUGUCACUUAGACCAAUUGGCCUUAGCUUUAUCUGUAUUUGCCAAGAUUCUCAAACUGGGUUAUCACCCAAAUGACAUAACAUUAACUACACUCAUCAGAGGUCUCUGUGAUAAGGGCGAGAUCAAAAAAGCACUCUACUUUCACGACAAAGUAGUAGCACUAGGAUUUCCACUCGACCAGUUCACUUACGGGACUCUGAUCAAUGGAUUGUGCAGAAUAGGGGAAACUAAAACUGCCAUCGAGUUGCUCAGAAGGAUUGAAGGUCGAUCAACGGUAAUGUACAGUAUAAUUAUUGACCGUCUAUUCAAAGAUAAACUUCCAAAAGAAGCAUAUGAUAUGUAUUCUGAAAUGGUUGUGAAGGGAAUUUCUCGAGAUGUUGUUACCUAUACUACUCUAGUUUAUGGCUUGUGCUCUGUUAAUCAGUUAGAACAAGCGUUAGGAUUGAUAAAUGAAAUGCUAUCAAAUAGCAUCCAGCCAAAUGUUUAUACCUAUAGUAUAUUGAUUAAUGCAUUGGGUAAGCAAGGAAAGCUAAGAGAAGCCAAGAAUGUAUUGGGUGUGAUGGUGAAAGUUUAUAUGAAACUUAAUGAUUUUAGCUUUAAUGCUUUAAUGGAUGGGUAUUGCUUUGUUAAUGAAGUGAAUAUUGCUAAACAAGUAUUCAAUGCAAUGACCCACAUGAGAGUGAGUCCUACUUUAUACAGCUAUAAUAUCAUGAUAAAUGGACUCAUAAUCAACGAUAGGGUGGAUGAGGCCAUAAAUUUAUUUCAGGAAAUGCACAAGAGGAAUGUCAUUCCUAAUACAGUAACUUACAAUAUUAUUAUAGAUGGUUAUUGCAAAUUUGGAAGAAUAGAUUAUGUUUGGGAUCUUAUUGACAAGAUGCACUGUAGUAAUCAUCAACCAGACACCAUCACUUACAGUUGUUUGUUAGAUGCUUUAUGCAAAAACCACCAUCUAGACAAAGCAUUUGACUUAUUCAAAACAAUGAUGGAAAAAGGAAUUCAGCCGGAUAUGUACACAUGGAGCAUACUUAUUAAUGGAAUGUGCAAAGGGGGAAGACUUGAGAAGGCACAAGAGAUCUUUCAAGAUCUUUUAAUUAAAGGCUACCCUUUAGAUGUAUGUAAUUAUAGUACUAUGAUCAAUGGUCUUUGUAAAGAGGGUUUACUUGAUGAGGCAUUGACCUUAUGGUCCAAAAUGGAAGACAAUGGUUGUUUGCCUGAUGCACUAGCUUUCGAAAUAAUGAUUAGGGCUCUCUUUGAAAAGGACAAGACUGAUAUGGCAGAGACAUUUCUUUGUGAAAUGAUCUCUAGAGGUUUGAUAAAAGGUGAAACCUUAUUUAUUAGAGGAGUGUUACCUUUCUGCAACUUAUUUUUUACAUGCUGGAUGUGGAGUUGAUAUUUUUUUAUUUUGUACCCUGCAUUUUGAUUGCUAUAGAACUUCUGUUUUCUUUGACUUUGCAUUUUUAUUGUAGAAUUUGUUUAACUGAUUAGUACAGGGUUUGAAAUGAAUGAUUUCAUUGUCUUUCUAGACCAAAAUGGUGACGUCGCUUCCUGUCUAAAAUCUGGAUGGCUUUUUUAUUUUUAACUGUUUGAUAUUCCCCAUUCAUGUUCGUCAGAACCCAAAUAUGUUUUUUCUGUAGGGCUUUUUCAGUGUUACACCUAAGGGAAGCUAUAUUUCUUUCAUUAUUAUAGAAAUCACAUUUUCAUAUAGAAAUAUAGUUUAAGUGUGCAAGGAAAUAAGGUUGGGAGGGACAAGGAAGAAAAACAGUGGAUAUACUUAGGACAAUCCCAAUUCCCAUGAUAAUAGAUAAUGCACAGCUAUUGAGCAUUUGGUGGGGAAAUUGUUGGACAAAAGUUUCAAGUUCAUUUUACUUUUAGAAGUUAUCUAUCACAUAAUAAGAUUAUUUAAGAAGUGUACAAUCAUACCAUAUUACCUUAUUGUUAUUUUGAUAUAACUCAUUACAAGUUUUCUAUUAUUUAAAUAAGCUUCAAUCCAAUGAAACGAGGGGCCAUUAAUAAAUCAGUGAAAUUCUAUAAUAUGCUCUUUGUUUACAAAAUAAUCAGUUUUGCUGGAUAAAUACUACUGCUGCUGUUAAACAGAGAAAUGCUAGACACAAUAUUGAUCUUUGACAUCUAAGAUCAGAACAUCUAUCUACUAGGAGAUUGGAUGUAAUGAAAUACAAAUAUUAUUUUGUUGUUCAUAGUAGCAAAGAUCUUAUCUGUUAUACUUGCCAUCUUGCUAAACAGAAGGAACCUUCUUUCUCUGCUAGUAAUUCUCAUGCUGAAAAUAGUUUUGAUCUCAUACAUGUGCAUAUUUACGGACCAUGUUCUAGCAUUUCUAUAAAUGGAUACUGAUAUUUUUUUACUAUUGUUGGUGAUAAUACUCGUUUUAGCUUGUUUGAUUAAAUUUAUUGAGUGUGUAAAAACUCAGUUUCAGAAAGUGUGUUAGAACUGAUGAUGGUUUGGAAUUUAAGACGAGUGAUUACUUUGAAACAUCAGAACAAAAUGCUCUAGUUGAACGGAAAUACCAACAUAUUUUAAAUCUUACUAGAUUUUCCUUUUCAAGCUAAUCUUUCUUAUCAAUUCUGUAGCUUUGCUGUUAUUCAUGCUGUUUUCUUGAUAAACUGUAUUCCUGCACAUUUCCUUGAUAAUAUCUCGCCUUUUGAAAAGUUAUAUGACAAGCUAAGUGAUAUAUUUAUACUUGUUUGAUUUUUAAAUUUUCAGAAAAAGAAAAAAGAAAAAAGAAGAGGCUAACAGCUGCUGUGGUGCGAGAAUUGGAGUUGAGCAGUUUUGAGCAAUCAUUGAAGAACAACUUGUAAUAUGUUUGACUUGUUGCUGUCAAUUGAAGACUUGAACGAAACCAACCCACACAACCUGGACCUGCCAAGUCAAAGAGAAAGAAACAGUUUGAGUUCAAGCAAUGCAACCUGCGCUGACCUCUUGGAUUAUAUCUGAAUAAAGGAGCUUGAAGAGUCAAUUUAUCUGCGCUGACCUCUUGGUACAAAAUAAGUAUGCUCCAACAGUACAUAUCCGGCUGGAUUCCUUUUUCAUCUUUGUCUCUUAUAAUUCAAAUGCUUUGUCUAUAUGAUAGAUUUUGCAUGAAGCAUCUAACAAACAAUCAUAAGUAAUUUUGUUUGGUUGUUGAUUUCUAUCAUGCAUCUCGUCAAUAUGACCCAUAAGAGGAUUGUAAGUUACUUUCAUUUAUGUAUUUUCUGAAAGAGAUUUAUGUAUCUUAUCGUUCCUUAUGAAUCCAUUUAUCAUGAUAUUGUAGCUUGGAAACAAUAGGACUCACUCUCAAGCAUUGCAUUGAAUACUUGUUUCAUUGAAUACUUGUUUCGCAUCUUCACUUCAUUAACUAAUUAAUACCCAUCCAUUAAAGUAUUAAAGCUAAAAUCAGUAGGCUUCACAUAGGCUUUCACCAUCA